rnacentral:rRNA from 1 species
GACGAACGCUGGCGGCGUGCUUAACACAUGCAAGUCGAACGGAAAGGCCCUGCUUUUGUGGGUUGCUCGAGUGGCGAACGGGUGAGUAACACGUGAGUAACCUGCCCUUGACUUUGGGAUAACUUCAGGAAACUGGGGCUAAUACCGGAUAGGAGCUCCUGCUGCAUGGUGGGGGUUGGAAAGUUUCGGCGGUUGGGGAUGGACUCGCGGCUUAUCCGCUUGUUGGUGGGGUAGUGGCUUACCAAGGCUUUGACGGGUAGCCGGCCUGAGAGGGUGACCGGCCACAUUGGGACUGAGAUACGGCCCAGACUCCUACGGGAGGCAGCAGUGGGGAAUAUUGCACAAUGGGCGGAAGCCUGAUGCAGCAACGCCGCGUGCGGGAUGACGGCCUUCGGGUUGUAAACCGCUUUCGCCUGUGACGAAGCGUGAGUGACGGUAAUGGGUAAAGAAGCACCGGCUAACUACGUG